rnacentral:rRNA from 1 species
UACGGGGGGGGCAAGCGUUGUUCGGAAUUACUGGGCGUAAAGGCUCGUAGGCGGCCAACUAAGUCGGACGUGAAAUCCCCAGGCUCAACCUGGGAACUGCGUCUGAUACUGGAUGGCUCGAGUGUGGGAGAGGGAUGCGGAAUUCCAGGUGUAGCGGUGAAAUGCGUAGAUAUCUGGAGGAACACCGGUGGCGAAGGCGGCAUCCUGGACCAUAACUGACACUGAUAAGCGAAAGCCAGGGAGCAAACGGG